rnacentral:misc_RNA from 1 species
AGUGAUUUAGGUAACACUGUUUGAUCACUUUCAUUUGAAGUCCACGUAGAAAUUUUUUCAAAAUUUUCUGUUAUAUUUGCAUUCUUUCUUUGUUUUGUAUUUUCUCAUUUUUUGUAGUAUAUUUGCAGUUACAAAAAUAAAUGCUGCCAUUUAUGGGUUUUUUUAAAUUUUAUUUUGAGCUUCACUUUUUAUAGAUUUUUAAUUUAAAAAGGAAGAAAGAAGCUUAUACUUAGAUUUGCUGGUGAAAAUUUGUUCUUUGGUGGUCUUUUGGUCAAAAUUGUUAGAUAUCGAUGUUACUAAUUAAACGACAAUUAUUUCAAUUAGUUUUUAUGUUUUGAGUAUAAAAUUACGGCAGUAAGACAUGGAAGCACCCCGAUCCCAAAGUAUCUUAUUUCUGUGAGAAAUCAGAAAUGGCUAGCAAAUUGGUAUUAUAUCCUUGCCUUGGGCAUUUAUAUAGUGGUCAAUUUUCAAAUGUCCAAAAUUGCUAUUGAAAUGGCAUCAGCAACCUUGAUGCCGGUCUCCUUAUUUUUGUCCAUUUUCACUUAUUUAUGCGUGUCUACAGUGAUCCACAUUCAGAUGCAAUGGCCAAUGACUUGAGCUACAACAGCAGAGUUGAUAAUUGGAAGUUGGUAGAGACAAACAUGGACGAAACUGGCAACUCUAACUUAGCUUAGCUUAGCUUUUGUAUGGGUUGUGGUUAUCUUGCAAACUAAC